rnacentral:rRNA from 1 species
GUGGGGAAUAUUGCACAAUGGGGGAAACCCUGAUGCAGCCAUGCCGCGUGUGUGAAGAAGGCCUUCGGGUUGUAAAGCACUUUCAGCGAGGAGGAAAGGAGGAUAGCUAAUACCUAUUCUCUGUGACGUUACUCGCAGAAGAAGCACCGGCUAACUCCGUGCCAGCAGCCGCGGUAAUACGGAGGGUGCAAGCGUUAAUCGGAAUUACUGGGCGUAAAGCGCACGCAGGCGGUCAGAUAAGUCAGAUGUGAAAGCCCCGGGCUCAACCUGGGAACUGCAUUUGAAACUGUCUGACUAGAGUCUUGUAGAGGGGGGUAGAAUUCCAGGUGUAGCGGUGAAAUGCGUAGAGAUCUGGAGGAAUACCGGUGGCGAAGGCGGCCCCCUGGACAAAGACUGACGCUCAGGUGCGAAAGCGUGGGGAGCAAACAGG